UGACAGCUGGAACUUACCGGACAGGCAGACAGCCUUCUUCUGCAGCCAACAGGGAUUUGCAUCCCAGAUGCAUGCAAGAUAAGUGGAGGGUUAUGACCCACAGAGAGAUUGGAUGAGGGGUGCCAGGUUGGGACUUUCUAGAUGAGGUUUUUGUGUCUGUUUUAGAGAUGGGGAUGUCCAAGAAGCAUCCCCUUAGGUCACCUAAAGGGAAAGUGUCUGUUUUGAUCUCUGUGCUGAAGUGCACAGGGCAGAGCAGUUCUGGUGUGUGUCCUGUCACUUGUCUCUGGUGCACUCUGUGUUCUUUGGGUCUCUUGGUCCUUUCUUCUCAUCUAAAGCUCUCUCUCCCUCUCCUGUCCCCUCGUCUGUCACGUCCUGUCCCGUGUCACGGGUGUCUGCACAUAUUCAUCCCGGAGCUGCUCUGCCCUGCUGCGUAGCCUGUAACAGCACAAGUCCUGGGGACUUGAAAUUUGUAAAUGCGGGGUGUAGUUGGGCUCUAGACUGGAUUAAGAGAUUGCCAUAACAUGUUUGGUACUGUUAAGUUUUCCUGCGGUCUUUUGACACUAGUUCUAACUUCCUUUCAGAUGCAGACAGUUCAAAUCGGUGGCAGAGGGCACCAGUCCUGGGAAGCCCAGGCAGAUAGCAGCAGUCAAGGCCCAGUGUGCCAGGGAAUCCACUGCGAGUAUGCCAAGCCCCUGUCACCAGCUGGCCGAUGGACCGGGUUUCCUGCACUUAUGAGCCCUCUGGAAGUAUUACAGGACCCUGUGAUGAAGCCUACCGGUUUUGUAUUUCAAGGUCCCCUCCUAGUAGCCCAGAGGAAUGGCUGAGGAGUUGCGGUGUACCCUGUGUUGAAGGUGUCGGCCUCCAAGCACGCCUGAGGUGCGUGGCCCGAGCAUUCUUAGGAAACGACCAAGAGAGAAGAGCCUGGUGACAACUGGAAUUUCCCAGACCGGCAGGAGGCCUCCUUCUGCACCUGAUGAGGAUUUGCAUCCCCAGAUAUGUGCAAGAUAAGUCAAGGGUUACGACCCACAGAGGGGAUGGAAGAGAGGUGCCAGAUGCCGACAGUUCAAAUCUGUGGCAGUGGGCUCCAGUCCUGGCUGAGGAACUUCCAAUGAGCAGGAGGUCCAGGCAGAUAGCAGCUGUCAAGGCCAAGUCUGCCAGGGAAUCCACUGGCAGUAUGCCGAGCCCUUGUCACCAGCUGGCUGAUGGACCAGGUUUCCUGCACUUAUGAGCCCUCUGGAAGUAUUACAGGACCCUGUGAUGAAGCCUACCGGUUUUGUAUUUCAAGGUCUUCUCCUGGUAGCCCAGAGGACUGGCCGAGGAGUUGCAGUGAGUCGGUGAGGUAGGGAGGAGUGAGAGUCCACUCGAGUUUCAGCAAUGCCAUGUAACGUUGUCUCCACUUAACCUAGCUAUACCCUGCAAUGACGGCGUCAGAAUCCAAGCAGACCUGAAGUGUCCAGGCCAUGUACAUGUCCAUUUUGAUGAGAAUGGUGAGUAGCAAAAUUAUCAGGUUUUGGCAGAUGUGCUGUUAAGACUGUGUACUGAUGUUUGGUUUUCUUUCUCUUGGCAGACCAAGAGGUGUCACGAUCCGCUUAUAGCGGGGUGUCGUGAUGGUUCGUUAGCCGAUCCCAAAGUGCAAAAGACAAACAGCAGGGGACUAUCAGUUUAAUCACAACAGAUGCACCUUUAUUAAGGGCCAAAACCAAUAAAUGCGAUAGUGGGGGUCAGAAAAGAAAUAUAAAAGGAUAGAGAGAGAGAGAGAAAGGGGGGAUGGGAAUAGCUACCAACACAGGCGAGGUCCUCAGUGGUCCGGACGAUGGGGAUCCGUCUUGUUGUGUUGGGGAGAGUCUCCGAAAUCCUACCCAACCCAGGGGUCCAGUUAUAGUCCACAGAAGGAAAGGGGGGAACAUGCAGAACAAUGAGACUCUAUUGAAAUUGCUAUGGGGGGAACAGGUGUAUCUACAGAAAAUCAUCCAGGCUGAACAAACACAAUAAUGAAUAAGUCCAUUGAAGUUACUGGAGAAGAACAGGUCAUGUCAUUUCCCCCACCACCACUCUCUGUGGUAGGGGUCUCAGUCUCAGUCCUUGGGGAGAGGGUUCUUGAUCUCUGUCUGUCACGGUGGUAACGAGGCAGAUGAGGGGUCUUCAGUGAGAGACCACCAGAGUCACCCCAACAGUUCAUUCAGCUUAAAGGUGGAGAGUGAAGCAGGAAUUGCAGAGGGCCGCUCUGUGCUGGGUCCACGCUGGGUCUUCGCCAAGUCCUUGCCAACUCCUUGCCAAGUUCUUGCCGGGCCUCAUUCGGAACGGAACGUAACGGUACAGCGGCUGCACCUGCACUGUUGCCUUCUCCAAGCCGGAACUGCAGUGGGGGAAGGGAGUUCCUUCUCGUGGCAAUCGGCAGGCAAAUGAGUGAGGGUCUUCAGACGGCCUCUUACACCACCCCGUGACUGACGAUUGCCCUCAAGAGAUCUUCUGUAGUGUCGUUGUGAAGUCUUCAGGACUCGUCUAGUGUUGGCAGCAUAUCCCA
ensembl:lncRNA